CGCGACCCCAGGUCAGGCGGGGUUACCCGCUGAAUUAA
rnacentral:rRNA from 1 species